GUGCCAGCAGCCGCGGUAAUACAGAGGGUGCGAGCGUUGUCCGGAAUCACUGGGCGUAAAGGGCGCGUAGGCGGCCUGAUAAGUAGGGGGUGAAAUCCUGCGGCUUAACUGCAGGGCUGCCUCCUAGACUGUCGGGCUCGAGCACGGUAGAGGCAGAUGGAAUUCCCGGUGUAGCGGUGGAAUGCGUAGAGAUCGGGAAGAACAUCGGUGGCGAAGGCGGUCUGCUGGGCCGUUGCUGACGCUGAGGCGCGACAGCGUGGGGAGCAAACAGGAUUAGAAACCCUCGUAGUCC
rnacentral:rRNA from 1 species